rnacentral:rRNA from 1 species
AACGCACUAGAAGUGAGAAUUGCCGGUUAUGAAGUAGCGAAAAGAACAGGUGAGAAUCCUGGUCCACCGUAAGACUAAGGUUUCCAAGGGAAAGGCUCGUCCGCCCUGGGUUAGUUCGGGACCUAAGGAGAAGACCGAAAGGUGUAUCCGAUGGCCAACGCACUAGAAGUGAGAAUUGCCGGUUAUGAAGUAGCGAAAAGAACAGGUGAGAAUCCUGGUCCACCGUAAGACUAAGGUUUCCAAGGGAAAGGCUCG